UUUCCCAUAGCGUAAGCUACUUACGCAAUAGGAGAGACCUCUCGAUAGGGAACUGAGAUUUGUCCUACGCCACCAGGAUAGAGGUGAGCCACUAUGCCACCAUAAAGACUUAGUGUAUUGGGAAUUGGGCAUUCCAAAAAGGGGAGAAAAAAAUAAAUAAAAGUACACAUAUUUAAGCUCACAUGUCAAAUAUUUUGCUUCUCAGGUAAAUUUCUUGUGUUUUAAAGAUGUUUCGAUAUUUUUAUUAAAGUGGAAUACAAGACAAAGGCACUGAUUAACGUCUUCAGCUCUACAUCACACUGCGGCGGGUCCGUGGACACUAGGGCCAGUUAUGUUUGUGAUUAAAAUGUAAAAGUUCCUUGAUACAUCAAUAGAUAAGACCUGAAAACGUUGCGGUGGUGAUGAUUUUGGAAUAUAAAUAUAAAUCAAGGAAAUCAUAAAAUGGAUGAACAGUAUAUUUUGUUGCUAUAUCACCACAGUUCGAAUGAUUCUCAAAAGAAAGUGAAAUAUAGUGAGCCAGCUGAAAAGUUGAAUACACACUGACCAACAGUAUGUGUGAAUGGGUUUACAGGUAAACCAUCUGGGGAUGCAUUUAAGCAGCUGGCAGGACAGACUCUAAAUCGUGCCAUACAGGAGUUGGAGAUAUCUGAGGAACCUAAAGAAGGUUUCCACACAGCCCACUACUGCCAGGGGUCACCACAGAUGAGAGCGGGACAGUGCUGGUGUUUCAGAGCCGUCUGUUUUGGACGUGUCUAACGGUAGUGUGAGCGCUCUUCCGCUUCAGACACGCUAGCCGAAGUUCCCAAUGGCCAUCGAAGCAGCUGCAUUCUCUCCUCUGGACAACAAACUGUAUUUCUUAAAAGAGGGUGUAUGUGGCGCUACUCUGGCUUUAAUCUGGAUUCUGGAUUCCCCACAAAGAGCAGUGAAUCUGGCUUGUCCUAUACACAUUGACUGUGCCUUCAUCUAUUGCCCUCUGGUGCUCUUCAAAGGAUCCCGUUACUUCGUCCUGAACCUCAAAACUCUAAACGUGGAGCCGUACUGUCUUCGUUGUCUGAGGGACUGGAAGGGCAUUCCACAGGCAGUAAAUGGGGCCAUGGCUCGGCGAGAAACUGUACUUCUUUAAAGAGCAGAAGUACUGGAGGUUUGAUCCUGGGAAGGUGCGUAUCACUACGACUGGACGGUGGGUGGAGAGUCUGCAGUGGAUUGGCAGCCAUGGGACUCCAUCAUUACAGGGUAAUGAACUUCUCUGACCAAGAGAGAGAGCCAAAGGAAAUUCACUACACUCUUGAGAGGAGAUGAGGACAGGUGCAAAUCACAGGCCAAAAAAAAACUGUCUGUCUGGGACAAAAAG